ACCCGCUGAACUUAAGCAUAUCAAUAAGCGGAGGAAAAGAAACCAACAGGGAUUGCCCUAGUAACGGCGAGUGAAGCGGCAACAGCUCAAAUUUGAAAUCUGGCGUCUUUGGCGUCCGAGUUGUAAUUUGCAGAGGGCGCUUUGGCAUUGGCAGCGGUCCAAGUUCCUUGGAACAGGACGUCACAGAGGGUGAGAAUCCCGUACGUGGUCGCUAGCCUUUACCGUGUAAAGCCCCUUCGACGAGUCGAGUUGUUUGGGAAUGCAGCUCUAAAUGGGAGGUAAAUUUCUUCUAAAGCUAAAUACUGGCCAGAGACCGAUAGCGCACAAGUAGAGUGAUCGAAAGAUGAAAAGCACUUUGGAAAGAGAGUUAAAAAGCACGUGAAAUUGUUGAAAGGGAAGCGCUUGCAGCCAGACUUGCCUGUAGUUGCUCAUCCGGGUCUCUACCCGGUGCACUCUUCUAUAGGCAGGCCAGCAUCAGUUUGGGCGGUUGGAUAAAGGUCUCUGUCAUGUACCUCUCUUCGGGGAGAACUUAUAGGGGAGACGACAUGCAACCAGCCUGGACUGAGGUCCGCGCAUCUGCUAGGAUGCUGGCGUAAUGGCUGU
rnacentral:rRNA from 1 species